rnacentral:sRNA from 1 species
GGAAAGCAGAGAUUUUUAUUCGGUCUUUUCUUUUACUCUUUCCUUUUCCGUUUCUACUUUUUCUCGAUGUUAAUGGUUCCUUCCUCCCUCUCCUCCUCUGCGCUUUGGUACGAGCCAAGGGAGAGGGGCGGAGGGAGGAAAAGGGAAAGGAAGCGGAUAGGCCUUAAAGGGGCCGCAACCAUUUUUUUAAGCCACUUUUUCCUCUCUCCAAUUUUGCAACGACGGGCGCGGAGGAGGAGGUUCCCGGAAGCCACGCGCAGCUGGAGCAGCGGCGACCGCAGCUGGAGGCCCGGAGCGCCUGCGGGGCGGGCAGAGGCGAGGGAGGUUGCGGGUAGGAAGGGCGGGCUGCGCGCGCCCCCUGCGCCCCGCGCAUCUCGGGGCCGGCCCAUGCUCCCGACGGCUGCGGGCUUCAGCAUCUGGGGCCGGGUUGGGGCGGCGGGGUCCAGGGCGCAGGUGGUGCGGCCGAUGCGCCGGGCCGGAGGCUGAGGCCGCGCGGCGGGGCUGGGACAGCACUGGCAUCUCCAGAGCAGGCCCGGGCAGCAAGGGAGGCGCCGCGAUGCCAGACGAAAAUAUCUUUCUGUUCGUGCCCAACCUCAUCGGUGAGUGCUGCCCGCGGCCCCGGGCCGAACGAGAGGGCGAGGGGCCUUGGCGGGCUCCCUGAUCCUGCCCUGUCUCCCCGCGUCCCGUUCCAAGGUUAUGCCCGGAUUGUCUUCGCCAUCAUUUCUUUCUACUUCAUGCCCUGCUGCCCCCUCACGGCCUCCUCCUUCUACCUGCUCAGCGGCCUGCUGGACGCUUUCGAUGGACACGCUGCUCGCGCUCUUAAUCAAGGAACCCGGUUUGGGGCCAUGCUGGACAUGCUGACGGACCGCUGCUCCACCAUGUGCCUGUUGGUCAACCUGGCCCUGCUGUACCCUCGAGCCACACUGUUCUUCCAACUCAGCAUGAGUUUGGAUGUGGCCAGUCACUGGCUGCACCUCCACAGUUCUGUGGUCCGAGGCAGUGAGAGUCACAAGAUGAUCGACUUGUCCGGGAAUCCGGUGCUUCGGAUCUACUACACCUCGAGGCCUGCUCUGUUCACCUUGUGUGCUGGGAAUGAGCUCUUCUACUGCCUCCUCUACCUGUUCCAUU